GGGUCUGUAGCUCAGUUGGUUAGAGCGCACCCUGAUAAGGGUGAGGUCGGCAGUUCGAAUCUGCCCAGACCACCA
rnacentral:tRNA from 2 species